rnacentral:rRNA from 1 species
AGAGAGAGACAUGCGCGCAUAUCAAUAAGCGGAGGAAAAGAAACUAACUAGGAUUCCCUCAGUAACGGCGAGUGAAGCGGGAAGAGCUCAAAUUUGAAAUCUUCAAGGUUCUACCUUGACGAAUUGUAGUUUAAAGAAGUGUUUUCUGUUGGAGUUUUGGUAAAAGUUCUUUGGAAUAGGACAUCAUAGAGGGUGAGAAUCCCGUAUUUGAUCACUUUCUACUAACGUUGUGAUACACUUUCAAAGAGUCGGAUUGUUUGGGAAUGCAGUCCAAAAUGGGUGGUAAAUUUCAUCUAAAGCUAAAUAUUGGCGAGAGACCGAUAGCGAACAAGUACCGUGAGGGAGAGAUGAAAAGAACUUUGAAAAGAGAGUUAAACAGUACGUGAAAUUGUCAAAAGGGAAGCGUUUGACACCAGUGUUGUUUUCUCGAAAAUCAAUUAAAAAUGGCAGGAUUUUGUGUUGUAUUGACUUUAUCAGCUUUCUGCACUUUUUUCUUGUCUUUUUUAAUGCACUUUUCGUUUAACAAGUCAACAUCAAUUUCUUUUGUUGUAAAAGAGUCAUUGGAAGGUGGCUUUCACUUCGGUGAAAGUGUUUAUAGCCUUUGACUUCUGCAAUCGGAGAGAUUGAGGUCUGCAGCGUAGAUCCUUCGGGGUUAGAUACAUUUGUGCUAAGCUAUAGCUUUUUAUAGACAACUUGUUGACUAUAUUUAGUCUUGUGGCUUACUCGCUUAUGCUAUUUUACCUACGCUUAGGAUGUUGACAGCAGUAUAGACUGU